AUGAAGUUUUAGUCACUUUAUUUCGUUGUUUCUUUGUGUUAUUUUGUUUUAAAUACUAUAGUGUUUACUUUUCUUAAGUUUCAUCAUCUUUCAUCGUUGCAUGCAUCUUGCAUUCAUAGUUACUACUCAUUAGUACUAUUCAUAACUAUUUCUGCAGAAUUAUUAUUUCACAAAAAUACUAUUUGCAUGGUAGAAGCACUAUUUGCACAUUCCUUCCAUCUCAUCAUUCGCCUGC
rnacentral:lncRNA from 1 species